ACCAGAAUGGCUGAAUGGUUAAGGUGUUGGAUUUAAGAGCCAAUGGACAUAUGUCCUUGUGGGUUUGAACCCCACUCCUGAUA
rfam:Salmo salar isolate Sally breed double haploid chromosome ssa27, whole genome shotgun sequence.